GACGAACGCUGGCGGCGUGCUUAACACAUGCAAGUCGAACGGAAAGGCCCUGCUUUUGUGGGGUGCUCGAGUGGCGAACGGGUGAGUAACACGUGAGUAACCUGCCCUUGACUUUGGGAUAACUUCAGGAAACUGGGGCUAAUACCGGAUAGGAGCUCCUGCUGCAUGGUGGGCGUUGGAAAGUUUCGGCGGUUGGGGAUGGACUCGCGGCUUAUCAGCUUGUUGGUGGGGUAGUGGCUUACCAAGGCUUUGACGGGUAGCCGGCCUGAGAGGGUGACCGGCCACAUUGGGACUGAGAUAGGGCCCAGACGCCUACGGGAGGCAGCAGGGGGGAAUAUUGCACAGUGGGCGGAAGCCUGAUGCAGAGACGCCGCGUGCGGGAUGACGGCCUUCGGGUUGUAAACCGCUUUCGCCUGUGACGAAGCGUGAGUGACGGUAAUGGGUAAAGAAGCACCGGCUAACUACGUG
rnacentral:rRNA from 1 species